ACACGUAGGGGCCUGACGUUGUUCGGAAUCAUUGGGCGUAAAGGGCGCGCAGGCGGCCGUCCAAGUCCGGUGUUAAAUGGUCGGGCUCAACCCGAUCAUGCGCUGGAAACUGGGCGGCUGGAGUCCCGGAGGGGAUGACGGAAUUCCAGGUGUCGGGGUGAAAUCUGUAGAUAUCUGGAAGAACACCGAUGGCGAAGGCAGGCAUCUGGCCGGAGACUGACGCUGAGGCGCGAAGGCGCGGGGAGCGAACAGGUUUAGAUACCCUGGUAGUCCGCGCAGUAAACGAUGCGCACCAGGUGUCGGGCGGCAGCGCCCGGUACCGGAGCAAACGCGAUGAGUGCGCCGCCUGGGGAGUAUGCCCGCAAGGGUGAAACUCAAAUGAAUUGGCGGGG
rnacentral:rRNA from 1 species